CGCCUACGGGGGGCAGCAGUGGGGAAUAUUGCACAAUGGGGGGAACCCUGAUGCAGCGACGCCGCGUGAGUGAAGAAGUAUUUCGGUAUGUAAAGCUCUAUCAGCAGGGAAGAAAAUGACGGUACCUGACUAAGAAGCCCCGGCUAACUACGUGCCAGCAGCCGCGGUAAUACGUAGGGGGCAAGCGUUAUCCGGAAUCACUGGGUGUAAAGGGAGCGUAGACGGCUGUGCAAGCCUGAAGUGAAAGGCGGGGGCCCAACCCCCGGACUGCUUUGGGAAC
rnacentral:rRNA from 1 species